rnacentral:rRNA from 1 species
AGGUAAGCUACUAAGAGCGAAUGGUGGAUGCCUUGACUGGUAAAGGCGAUGAAGGACGUACUAGACUGCGAUAAGCUACGGGGAGCUGUCAAGAAGCUUUGAUCCGUAGAUUUCCGAAUGGGGCAACCCAAUGUAUAGAGAUAUACAUUACCUAUAUAGGAGCGAACGAGGGGAAUUGAAACAUCUUAGUACCCUCAGGAAAAGAAAUCAAUAGAGAUUGCGUCAGUAGCGGCGAGCGAAAGCGCAAGAGGGCAAACCCAGUGCUUGCACUGGGGGUUGUAGGACUGCAAUGUGCAAGAGGUAAGUUUAGCAGAACAUUCUGGAAAGUAUAACCAUAGAGGGUGAUAGUCCCGUAUGCGAAAAACAAACCUUAGCUAGCAGUAUCCUGAGUAGGGCGGGACACGAGGAAUCCUGUCUGAAUCCGGGUCGACCACGAUCCAACCCUAAAUACUAAUACCAGAUCGAUAGUGCACAAGUACCGUGAGGGAAAGGUGAAAAGAACUGAGGUGAUCAGAGUGAAAUAGAACCUGAAACCAUUUGCUUACAAUCAUUCAGAGCCCUAUGUAGGAAUACAGGGUGAUGGACUGCCUUUUGCAUAAUGAGCCUGCGAGUUGUGGUGUCUGGCAAGGUUAAGCAAACGCGAAGCCGUAGCGAAAGCGAGUCUGAAUAGGGCGCUUAGUCAGAUGCUGCAGACCCGAAACGAAGUGAUCUAUCCAUGAGCAAGUUGAAGCUAGUGUAAGAACUAGUGGAGGACUGAACCCAUAGGCGUUGAAAAGCCCCGGGAUGACUUGUGGAUAGGGGUGAAAGGCCAAUCAAACUUCGUGAUAGCUGGUUCUCUCCGAAAUAUAUUUAGGUAUAGCGUUGUGUCGUAAUAUAAGGGGGUAGAGCACUGAAUGGGCUAGGGCAUACACCAAUGUACCAAACCCUAUCAAACUCCGAAUACCUUAUAUGUAAUCACAGCAGUCAGGCGGCGAGUGAUAAAAUCCGUCGUCAAGAGGGAAACAACCCAGACUACCAGCUAAGGUCCCUAAAUCUUACUUAAGUGGAAAACGAUGUGAAGUUACUUAAACAACCAGGAGGUUGGCUUAGAAGCAGCCAUCCUUUAAAGAAAGCGUAAUAGCUCACUGGUCUAGUGAUUUUGCGCGGAAAAUAUAACGGGGCUAAAGUAAGUACCGAAGCUGUAGACUUAGUUUACUAAGUGGUAGGAGAGCGUUCUAUUUGCGUCGAAGGUAUACCGGUAAGGAGUGCUGGAGCGAAUAGAAGUGAGCAUGCAGGCAUGAGUAGCGAUAAUUAAUGUGAGAAUCAUUAACGCCGUAAACCCAAGGUUUCCUACGCGAUGCUCGUCAUCGUAGGGUUAGUCGGGUCCUAAGUCGAGUCCGAAAGGGGUAGACGAUGGCAAAUUGGUUAAUAUUCCAAUACCAACAUUAGUGUGCGAUGGAAGGACGCUUAGGGCUAAGGGGGCUAGCGGAUGGAAGUGCUAGUCUAAGGUCGUAGGAGGUUGUACAGGCAAAUCCGUAUAACAAUACUCCGAGAACUGAAAGGCUUUUUGAAGUCUUCGGAUGGAUAGAAGAACCCCUGAUGCCGUCGAGCCAAGAAAAGUUUCUAAGUUUAGCUAAUGUUGCCCGUACCGUAAACCGACACAGGUGGGUGGGAUGAGUAUUCUAAGGCGCGUGGAAGAACUCUCUUUAAGGAACUCUGCAAAAUAGCACCGUAUCUUCGGUAUAAGGUGUGGUUAGCUUCGUACUAGGAUUUACUCCGAAAGCGAAGAAACUUACAACAAAGAGUCCCUCCCGACUGUUUACCAAAAACACAGCACUCUGCUAACUCGUAAGAGGAUGUAUAGGGUGUGACGCCUGCCCGGUGCUCGAAGGUUAAUUGAUGGGGUUAGCAUUAGCGAAGCUCUUGAUCGAAGCCCGAGUAAACGGCGGCCGUAACUAUAACGGUCCUAAGGUAGCGAAAUUCCUUGUCGGUUAAAUACCGACCUGCAUGAAUGGCGUAACGAGAUGGGAGCUGUCUCAAAGAGGGAUCCAGUGAAAUUGUAGUGGAGGUGAAAAUUCCUCCUACCCGCGGCAAGACGGAAAGACCCCGUGGACCUUUACUACAGCUUGACACUGCUACUUGGAUAAGAAUGUGCAGGAUAGGUGGGAGGCUUUGAGUAUAUGACGCCAGUUGUAUAUGAGCCAUUGUUGAGAUACCACUCUUUCUUAUUUGGGUAGCUAACCAGCUUGAGUUAUCCUCAAGUGGGACAAUGUCUGGUGGGUAGUUUGACUGGGGCGGUCGCCUCCCAAAUAAUAACGGAGGCUUACAAAGGUUGGCUCAGAACGGUUGGAAAUCGUU